UCCCUCUUAGGGUCGCACCUGGAGAGUUUCCAGUACUCUACCAGUCUUGACUACGGGAGGGAGAGUCCAACAGAGGCAUAUCCAUUCCAUUACUAGCUUGGACAGUGGCUAGCAAGUGGAAGGCAACUUGUAGCUGGA